rnacentral:rRNA from 1 species
GACGGGGGAUGCAAGUGUUAUCCGGAAUCACUGGGCGUAAAGCGUCUGCAGGUGGUUUCCUAAGUCCACUGUUAAACCUUGAGGCUCAACCUCAAAUCUGCAUUGGAAACUAGGAGACUUGAGUAUAGUAGGGGUAGAGGGAAUUUCCAGUGGAGCGGUGAAAUGCGUAGAGAUCGGGAGGAACAUCAGUUGCGAAGGCGGCUCUCUGGACCAGCACUGACGCUGAGGUGCGAAAGCGUGGGGAGCAAACAGGGAUUAAGAUACCCGAGAG